AUAAGAGCGAUGACGGGAAUAAGUAGUCGGCAGGCAAGCUCUGCAGAGAGCCGGUGGGUGGUGCGAACCGGCGGGCGGCAGCCGAACGAAUGGGUCCCUGAGCUGAAGGUUGAACGUGCGCAGACGCACCCGGGCCCGGGGAAAGCUUCAAUUAGCAUUGCGCGCCGGUAGGCUGUUCCGGUUUCCUCCCCGUUACAGGAGGCUGAAGACCCGCGGUAUCUGUCUUGGACAGUACUUUGCGGGUAAAUUAGGGUGGCACCACGGUCUCUCGUCCCUUGC
rnacentral:ncRNA from 1 species